AUACGGAGGGUGCAAGCGUUGUCCGGAUUUAUUGGGUUUAAAGGGUCCGUAGGCGGGCAAUUAAGUCAGAGGUGAAAUCCCACAGCUCAACUGUGGAACUGCCUUUGAUACUGGUUGUCUUGAAUUAUAGUGAAGUAGAUAGAAUAUGUAGUGUAGCGGUGAAAUGCUUAGAUAUUACAUAGAAUACCGAUUGCGAAGGCAGUCUACUAACUGUAUAUUGACGCUGAUGGACGAAAGCGUGGGGAGCGAACAGGAUUAGAAACCCUAGUAGUCC
rnacentral:rRNA from 1 species